rfam:Nematostella vectensis strain CH2 x CH6 NEMVEscaffold_510_Cont29076, whole genome shotgun sequence.
UAGCUCAGUUGGGAGAGCGUCAGACUGAAGAUCUGAAGGUCCUUGGUUCAAUCCGGAG